GACGAACGCUGGCGGCGUGCUUAACACAUGCAAGUCGAACGGUGAUCUUGAGAGCUUGCUCUUGGGUGAUCAGUGGCGAACGGGUGAGUAACACGUGAGUAACCUGCCCCUGACUCUGGAAUAACUUCGGGAAACCGAAGCUAAUACCGGAUAUGACACAGAGCCGCAUGGUUUCUGUGUGGAAAGUUUUUCGGUUGGGGAUGGACUCGCGGCCUAUCAGCUUGUUGGUGAGGUAAUGGCUCACCAAGGCGACGACGGGUAGCCGGCCUGAGAGGGCGACCGGCCACACUGGGACUGAGACACGGCCCAGACUCCUACGGGAGGCAGCAGUGGGGAAUAUUGCACAAUGGGCGAAAGCCUGAUGCAGCGACGCCGCGUGAGGGGAUGAAGGCCUUCGGGUUGUAAACCUCUUUCAGUAGGGAAGAAGCGCAAGUGACGGUACCUACAGAAGAAGCACCGGCUAACUAACGUGCCAGCAGCCGCGGUAAU
rnacentral:rRNA from 1 species